AACGUAGGUGGCAAGCGUUAUCCGGAAUUACUGGGCGUAAAGGGUGUGCAGGCGGGGGAACAAGGGGUGUAUGAAAUCUCCCAGCUUAACUGGGAUAGGUUAUGCCAGACUGUUCUUCUAGAGGACGAGAGAGGGGGGUGGAAUUCCGGGUGUAGUGGUGAAAUGCGUAGAGAUCCGGAGGAACCCCAGAGGCGAAGGCGGCCCCCUGGCUCGUACCUGACGCUCAGCCACGAAAGCAUGGGGAGCGAACGGG
rnacentral:rRNA from 1 species